AGCAACAGUAUCAACUGCAGUACCACCAGCAACAAUAUCUGCAGGACCAUCAGCAGCGCAUCAAGAUUUCCUGCGAUAUUGCUCCCAGCACCCAGGUCCGAUAUCUCAAAGAGCUUUCUACCGGUGGUGUCAAUAUGGGGGAGAUGAUCCCUCCUUUAGAUGGAGGAGACAAGCCCCAUAUGACACCACUGGUAGAAGGAGGGGUGCUGGGAAGCGGUUCAACUCUUUUAAUUUCUACCAGUAGCUUUUUUAAGCUACUGGUAGAAUUAUCUUCAUCUUUAAUUAUAAAGAAAAUUGACUUUUUAAAAAAAUGUUUUUUUUUAAUUUUGCAAUUUUUUAUUAUUUUAAAUUUUAUACUUUCACUAUUUUAUUUUUUUGAUUUUUAAUUCUGUUUUUAAAUCCUAAACUUACAAAAGAACUCUUAUGUUAUAAAAGUUUUUAAUAAUUUGUCUAUAAGUUUUUUUAUUAAUUUACGUUUUUACAUCUUUUUAUCUUCAUUUUUAAUUUUAAUAAUACUAAAUUUUCUUUUGUAUUAACUUAUUUUUGUUAAGUGUUAUAUAGUUUUUGAAAGAUUUGGUAAAUAUAUUUAAAAUUUUUCUUUUUCUAUGAUAUCUGUUUAAUGUCUAAUAUAUGCACUAUACACCUAUUAAUCUCUUUACAUUAUUCUCUUUAGAUAUAUUAUAAAAUAGUAUUUAAAAUCAGUUGUCAGCCACAUGUGGUCUAUAUGAUGCAACAUGUUUGCAAUUGUUGGCAUGUCAUUU